GGCCCCGUAGUUCAACGGAUAGAAUGGAAGUUUCCUAAACUUUAGAUGGCAGUUCGAUCCUGCCCGGGGCUACUA
rnacentral:tRNA from 1 species